GCAUCUGAGGCUAAAAGGUUAAGCACUUGACUUGUAAUCUGCAGGUACCGGGUUCGAAUCCCGCCAUGUACC
rnacentral:tRNA from 1 species